CUCAGCCUGGUCUAAAGACUGAAGCUUGAGCAAUAGUUUGUGCAUUCAUAAGCAGGAUCAAGGGGUCAAACUCUAUUGGAAUCUGAGAGCAGAGCUGGAGCUUUACACAAGUGGAAUGGCCUGACAUAAAAGGAAGUGAGCUCCCCUUCCAUGAAGGUAAAACAAGUCUUAUGAUCCUUGCCAAAAGAGGAGAAAGUCCCACAAAAGAUGGAUAUCUAACCUGACUAGGAAAGCUGCCUGUCUGCUGUUUGAGAAGAAAUUGGCUGGGAUGAAAAGAGCUUUGCAUAUGGAGCCAAAGAGCUUUGGAUCUGAAUCCUGGUCUCUGCAACUCAUGUGACCUUGAGGAAAGCAGAUAACUUCCUGUCAGGGAAAGCAAAGAGAUCUCUGAAGGAUCCUUUUCAGCUCAGAGAUUCUAUGUGCACUGGAUCAUUUAAAGGAAAUGGAAAAUGAUGUUUCAUCCCCAAUUGAGAGCUGGUCACACUUCAGUCUAUCCCCCUGGAAUUAGAAGGGUGCCUACUGACUCUUCACACGAUACCGGCACAGAGGAAAGCAGCUUUUGAUACGGCAACAAGGUCCAAGGAAGGACUUCAAAGUCAAGGAAAUUCAGAACUAGAAGAGACUUUCAGGAUUAUCAGGUUUAUUAACACAUAUGUGAAUGAGAAUUAUGAAAUAAUAAAGGAAUUCAUAACCCCAUUGAGAUAGGAGGGAAUGGACCUCUCUGAAAGUCUGGUGAUACCUAUGGAUCCCUUCUCAGAAUAUUUUAAAAUGCAAAAAUAAAAUACAUGGCAUCCCAAAGGAAACUUUUAUUAAAAUAGUUACAGAAAUAAACAUACUAUAUAUCUAUAUAAAUAACAUUAUAGAUAUGUAUUUAAUGUUCAUGGAUUCUAACUUUAAUACCUCCAGAUUCAGCCUUCUCCUGUAGAUCUUUGGUCAUAGAGAUCACCCUCCUCCUCUCAAGCUGCCCUUCCACUUUUAAAUGGCUUCUUUUA